ACCUUUUCUUCGGAACAUCGGUGACAGGUGGUGCAUGGUUGUCGUCAGCUCGUGUCGUGAGAUGUUGGGUUAAGUCCCGCAACGAGCGCAACCCUUGUCUUUAGUAGCCAGCAGUUCGGCUGGGCACUCUAGAGAGACUGCCAGGGAUAACCUGGAGGAAGGCGGGGAUGACGUCAAAUCAUCAUGCCCCUUACGAGCAGGGCUACACACGUGCUACAAUGGCGUAAACAAAGGGAAGCGACCCUGUGAAGGUGAGCAAAUCUCAAAAAUAACGUCUCAGUUCGGAUCGAAGUCUGCAACUCGACUUCGUGAAGUUGGAAUCGCUAGUAAUCGCGAAUCAGAAUGUCGCGGUGAAUACGUUCCCGGGUCUUGUACACACCGAAAC
rnacentral:rRNA from 1 species